rnacentral:rRNA from 1 species
UGCAGUCGAACGGGAAUCUUCGGAUUCUAGUGGCGGACGGGUGAGUAACGCGUAAGAAUCUAACUUCAGGACGGGGACAACAGUUGGAAACGACUGCUAAUACCCGAUGUGCCGCAAGGUGAAAACUAAUUGGCCUGAAGAAGAGCUUGCGUCUGAUUAGCUAGUUGGUGGGGUAAGAGCCUACCAAGGCGACGAUCAGUAGCUGGUCUGAGAGGAUGAGCAGCCACACUGGGACUGAGACACGGCCCAGACUCCUACGGGAGGCAGCAGUGGGGAAUUUUCCGCAAUGGGCGAAAGCCUGACGGAGCAACGCCGCGUGAGGGAGGAAGGUCUUUGGAUUGUAAACCUCUUUUCCCAAGGAAGAAGUUCUGACGGUACUUGAGGAAUCAGCCUCGGCUAACUCCGUGCCAGCAGCCGCGGUAAUACGGGGGAGGCAAGCGUUAUCCGGAAUUAUUGGGCGUAAAGCGUCCGCAGGUGGUCAGCCAAGUCUGCCGUCAAAUCAGGUUGCUUAACGACCUAAAGGCGGUGGAAACUGGCAGACUAGAGAGCAGUAGGGGUAGCAGGAAUCCCAGGUGUAGCGGUGAAAUGCGUACAGAUUGGGAAGAACAUCGGUGGCGAAACCGUGCUACUGGGCUGUAUCUGACACUCAGGGACGAAAGCUAGGGGAGCGAA